GUCUGUUUGUUGAUCUACCUGUACAAGCUCAGGUACAAGUGAUUAGCGAUCUUAAUCCGUAUGUUCCUCAGGCGUUAGAACUGUAUUUGGAUUAUACAUAAAAAGCCUAAGGGUUAUGCAAUUACAUGCAUUUAAUUACAAUUGAUAAAAAAAAAUGGCGUCGGGCUACAAAAAACGAUGAAGUUUUGAACGAUGGCGGAAGACAUUUAACGAUGGCGCAAGAAAAUUUAACGAUGGCGCGAGUCAUUUGACGAUGGCGCGAGUCAUUUGACGAUGGCGCAUGACAUUUUAACGAUGGCGGGGCGCCAUCGUUAAACAGGCCAUGGAGAUCCCUGACGUA
rnacentral:lncRNA from 1 species